rnacentral:snRNA from 1 species
GGAUGUGAGAGCGAUCUGGCUGCAACAUCUGUCACCCCAUUGAUCGCCAGGGUUGAUUCGGCUGAUCUGGCUGGCUAGGCGGGUGUCCCCUCCCUCACUGCUCCAUGUGCGUCCCUCCCGAAGCUGCACGCUUGGUGGAAGAGGACGACCAUCCCAGAUAGAAGGAGUGUACCUGUGCUGGUCCCAGGGGACUAA